rnacentral:rRNA from 1 species
CGAUAACGGCGUCGAGCGGCGGACGGGUGAGUAAUGCCUAGGAAAUUGCCCUGAUGUGGGGGAUAACCAUUGGAAACGAUGGCUAAUACCGCAUAAUGCCUACGGGCCAAAGAGGGGGACCUUCGGGCCUCUCGCGUCAGGAUAUGCCUAGGUGGGAUUAGCUAGUUGGUGAGGUAAUGGCUCACCAAGGCGACGAUCCCUAGCUGGUCUGAGAGGAUGAUCAGCCACACUGGAACUGAGACACGGUCCAGACUCCUACGGGAGGCAGCAGUGGGGAAUAUUGCACAAUGGGCGCAAGCCUGAUGCAGCCAUGCCGCGUGUGUGAAGAAGGCCUUCGGGUUGUAAAGCACUUUCAGUCGUGAGGAAGGUAGUGUAGUUAAUAGCUGCAUUAUUUGACGUUAGCGACAGAAGAAGCACCGGCUAACUCCGUGCCAGCAGCCGCGGUAAUACGGAGGGUGCGAGCGUUAAUCGGAAUUACUGGGCGUAAAGCGCAUGCAGGUGGUUUGUUAAGUCAGAUGUGAAAGCCCGGGGCUCAACCUCGGAAUAGCAUUUGAAACUGGCAGACUAGAGUACUGUAGAGGGGGGUAGAAUUUCAGGUGUAGCGGUGAAAUGCGUAGAGAUCUGAAGGAAUACCGGUGGCGAAGGCGGCCCCCUGGACAGAUACUGACACUCAGAUGCGAAAGCGUGGGGAGCAAACAGGAUUAGAUACCCUGGUAGUCCACGCCGUAAACGAUGUCUACUUGGAGGUUGUGGCCUUGAGCCGUGGCUUUCGGAGCUAACGCGUUAAGUAGACCGCCUGGGGAGUACGGUCGCAAGAUUAAAACUCAAAUGAAUUGACGGGGGCCCGCACAAGCGGUGGAGCAUGUGGUUUAAUUCGAUGCAACGCGAAGAACCUUACCUACUCUUGACAUCCAGAGAACUUUCCAGAGAUGGAUUGGUGCCUUCGGGAACUCUGAGACAGGUGCUGCAUGGCUGUCGUCAGCUCGUGUUGUGAAAUGUUGGGUUAAGUCCCGCAACGAGCGCAACCCUUAUCCUUGUUUGCCAGCGAGUAAUGUCGGGAACUCCAGGGAGACUGCCGGUGAUAAACCGGAGGAAGGUGGGGACGACGUCAAGUCAUCAUGGCCCUUACGAGUAGGGCUACACACGUGCUACAAUGGCGCAUACAGAGGGCAGCAAGCUAGCGAUAGUGAGCGAAUCCCAAAAAGUGCGUCGUAGUCCGGAUUGGAGUCUGCAACUCGACUCCAUGAAGUCGGAAUCGCUAGUAAUCGUGGAUCAGAAUGCCACGGUGAAUACGUUCCCGGGCCUUGUACACACCGCCCGUCACACCAUGGGAGUGGGCUGCAAAAGAAGUAGGUAGUUAA